GACGAACGCUGGCGGCGUGCUUAACACAUGCAAGUCGAACGAUGAAGCCGGAGCUUGCUCUGGUGAAUUAGUGGCGAACGGGUGAGUAACACGUGAGUAACCUGCCCUUGACUCUGGGAUAACUGCGGGAAACUGUAGCUAAUACCGGAUACGACCCUCGGAGGCAUCUCCUGGGGGUGGCAAGAAUUUCGGUCAAGGAUGGACUCGCGGCCUAUCAGCUAGUUGUUGAGGUAAAGGCUCACCAAGGCGACGACGGGUAGCCGGCCUGAGAGGGUGACCGGCCACACUGGGACUGAGACACGGCCCAGACUCCUACGGGAGGCAGCAGUGGGGAAUAUUGCACAAUGGGCGCAAGCCUGAUGCAGCAACGCCGCGUGAGGGAUGACGGCCUUCGGGUUGUAAACCUCUUUUAGCAGGGAAGAAGCGAAAGUGACGGUACCUGCAGAAAAAGCACCGGCUAACUACGUGCCAGCCGCCGCGGUAA
rnacentral:rRNA from 1 species